CCUACGUGAGGCAGCAGUGGGGAAUAUUGCACAAUGGGGGAAACCCUGAUGCAGCGACGCCGCGUGAGUGAAGAAGUAAUUCGUUAUGUAAAGCUCUAUCAGCAGGGAAGAAAAUGACGGUACCUGAGUAAGAAGCCCCGGCUAACUACGUGCCAGCAGCCGCGGUAAUACGUAGGGGGCAAGCGUUAUCCGGAUUUACUGGGUGUAAAGGGAGCGUAGACGGCAGUGCAAGUCUGGAGUGAAAGGCGGGGGCUCAACCCCCGGACUGCUCUGGAAACUGUACGGCUGGAGUGCAGGAGAGGUAAGUGGAAUUCCUAGUGUAGCGGUGAAAUGCGUAGAUAUUAGGAAGAACACCAGUGGCGAAGGCGGCUUACUGGACUGUAACUGACGUUGAGGCUCGAAAGCGUGGGGAGCAAACAGGAUUAGAUACCCCAGUAGUC
rnacentral:rRNA from 1 species